AUUUUUAGUAAGAUGGGGUUUCACCAUGUUGUCCAAGCUGGUCUCUAACUCCUGGCCUCAGGUGAUCUGCCCACCUCGGCCUCCCAAUGUGCUGGGAUUACAGGCAUGAGCCACUGCACCUGGCCCUUUUCACGAUUUUAAUUGCACUAAACUUCCAUAGAAUGCUGACACCACAUAAACAUGAUAAUGUGUCUUUGCAAUGUUCAAGCUUAAAUACUGAGAAUCCGGAAAUAUGAUGAAGUGUGGAGUUUAUUUGAACACGAAGUUGGAGGAUAGUCACAUAGGAAACACAGACUCUCAAAAUGGAAAGUUUAAGUCUCAUUUACAUAGUCAGAGGCAGAGGUUUAACAGGUUGCAGCAUUUUCCAACAAGAUCAGGACAUAGGUUAUAGCUCGCUACAUUAAGGAAGAUUGUUUUAACAUCCCAUAAGGAAGGGUAAUAGUCUUGAGAGGGUCUCACCUCUGGUACUAUUCAGUCUUUCCUAAUCAUUACAGGACAAGAAUGAGGAAGAGAUUUGACCCGGAAUAAAGAAGCAGAAGGUGCAGCUUCACACCAUGCGACGCAGGCCCCACAGCCAUGUUCCUCUCAAGGCUCAAAAUCAGGGCUGUGUGCCAAGCUGUACAGAACUGAUGGGGCAUAGGCCGAACCUGGAGCCACAUGAAAGAAGUGACGUGGUGACCUUGGUCAGGCUACACAGCUGCAUCGUCCGUUAACGGGAUUCUGACAAGAAUGGGAAGAGAUUUGAUCUGGAAUCAAAAAAGUUGCAGCUUCACACCAUGUGACUCAGGCCACACAGCCACGUGCCUCUCAAGGUGCAAAAUGAUCUCAACUUCCAACAGCUUCACUUCUGAAUUAUUUAAUUUCACAGGGACUUUAUACCAAGGUUCUCCACAUUGCACAAAGAUCCCCACACCUUCCAAAACCCUGCUCUGGAUGUCUUAGACACGCAUUCACAAUAGGAACUGGAAAUAAAAAGCAUUGAGACUGUUCUGCUGACAAUUAUUUUACUUCUUUUUUAUCUUCAUUAGCAGGCGUUAGGCAACUUUAACCGACCUUCUAGGCAGUUGUCAGUGAUCAUUGUCAUAUUAGAUUGCAUGGUUAUAGAUUA